GCCAGCAGCCAUAUCUCCCUGCAACUCACAACUGGCAACCCACUGAAGCUAAGCAGGUGUGAGCCUGGUCAGUACCUGGAUGGGAGACCUCCUGGGAAAAACUAAGGUUGCUGCUGGAA
ensembl:rRNA 5S_rRNA 5S ribosomal RNA